CGAAAGCCUGACGGAGCAAGACCGCGUGGGGGAGGAAUGCCUUAGGGUUGUAAACCCCUUUUAUCUGGGAAGAAACUAUUGUCAAAGAUAGCUGACGGUACCAGAUGAAUAAGCCUCGGCUAACUCCGUGCCAGCAGCCGCGGUAAUACGGAGGAGGCAAGCGUUAUCCGGAUUUAUUGGGCGUAAAGCGUCCGCAGGUGGCAGUUCAAGUCUGCUGUCAAAGACAGUGGCUCAACCACUGAAAGGCAGCAGAGACUGAGCAGCUAGAGUGCGGUAGGGGCAGAGGGAAUUCCCGGUGUAGCGGUGAAAUGCGUAGAUUUCGGGAAGAACAUCGGUGGCGAAAGCGCUCUGCUGGACCGCAACUGACACUCAGGGACGAAAGCUAGGGGAGCG
rnacentral:rRNA from 1 species